CGCCAGACUCCUACGGGAGGCAGCAGUGGGGAAUAUUGCACAAUGGGGGGAACCCUGAUGCAGCGACGCCGCGUGGGCGAGGAAGUAUUUCGGUAUGUAAAGCCCUAUCGGCAGGGAAGAAGAAAUGACGGUACCUGAAUAAGAAGCACCGGCUAAAUACGUGCCAGCAGCCGCGGUAAUACGUAUGGUGCAAGCGUUGUCCGGAUUUACUGGGUGUAAAGGGCGUGUAGCCGGGCUGACAAGUCAGAUGUGAAAUCCGGGGGCUCAACCCCCGAACUGCAUUUGAAACUGUUGGUCUUGAGUAUCGGAGAGGCAGGCGGAAUUCCUAGUGUAGCGGUGAAAUGCGUAGAUAUUAGGAGGAACACCAGUGGCGAAGGCGGCCUGCUGGACGACAACUGACGGUGAGGCGCGAAAGCGUGGGGAGCAAACAGGAUUAGAUACCCCAGUAC
rnacentral:rRNA from 1 species